AAGAAGGUGUCAGAGUGGCUAUGAGGCUGGCUUGAAAUCAGUUUAAGGGGGUUCGACUCCCUCUCUUCUUG
rnacentral:tRNA from 1 species